CCGUGCUAGGUGGGGAAUUAGCGGUGCCCUGUAUUCGCAAUCCGCUCUAGCGAAACUGAAUCCCUUCUCGAGGCUGCCACGCUUCAUGGUCUGCCUUCUGUAAGUGGUGUUGACGUUUGGGUCCUGCGCAAUGGGAAUUCAUGAACCAUGUCAGGUCCGGAAGGAAGCAGCAUUAAGUGGAACCUCUCAUGUGCCGCGGGGCUGCCUGAACCGAGCUAACUGCAGGAGUAACGCAUGGGGCUGUCAGUCGACAGAAGGUGCACGG
rfam:Jeotgalibacillus malaysiensis strain D5, complete genome.